rnacentral:lncRNA from 1 species
AUGGCUAACUCCAUCUGGAUUUCAGAGGAUGCCUUGGAGAGCCUUGGGGUCCAGGCAAAGAACUGCCACAGGGGCAGAGCCACUGCAGAGAGCCCCCACCAGGACAAUGCCCAGUGGAGGUGUGGGGGCAGGGCCACCUGAAGACCUCAGACUAGCAGAGCCACUGACGUGCACCUCCAGCCUGAGAGAGCCACAGGCAGGAGACUCCAGCCCAUGAGAGCUGCAGUGUGGGCCGUGCCCAGCAAACCCAUGUAGGAGGUGCCACCCAGAGCCCUGGGGGCCCAAGUCCCUCCUUAGAGUGUUCAGAAGGUGGGACCAUGGAGUCAAAGAAGACAUAAUGCUUUUUGCCCUGUUGGGUUUUAGACUUACUUAAGACCUGUUAUCCCGUGCCGGGAACAAUUUAAGACUUUGGGCCCUAUUGAGAUGGAAUGAACAUAUUUGGCAUGUGAGAAGACUGAAUUUUGGAGGGCCAGGGGUGGAAUGCUAUGGUCUGAAUGUUGGGGUUCCCCCUAAAUUUAUUUGUUGGGACUUAAUGCUCAGUGUGAUUAAUACUCUGAUAGUACUAAGAGGUGUGGCCUUUGGAAGGUGAUUAGUUCAUGAAGACUUUGCCUCAUGAAUAGGGUGGAGCUCUCAUAAGACAGGUUGGAGGGCCCAUCUCUUCCUCUUCCAUCAUGUGAGGACACAGAGGCGCCAUCUAUGAGGAACAGGCCCUCACCUGACACCAGAGAUGCUGGAGUUUGACCUUGGACUGCCCAGCUUCCAGUGCUAUGAACAAUACAUUUCUGUAGUUUACAGAUUUCCCAGUCUAC